CAAAGAAACCAACUGACAAACAAGG
rnacentral:piRNA from 1 species